AUUGAACGCUGGCGGCAUGCCUUACACAUGCAAGUCGAACGGCAGCACGGGAGCAAUCCUGGUGGCGAGUGGCGAACGGGUGAGUAAUAUAUCGGAACGUGCCCGGUCGUGGGGGAUAACGUAGCGAAAGCUACGCUAAUACCGCAUACGAUCUACGGAUGAAAGCGGGGGAUCGCAAGACCUCGCGCGAUUGGAGCGGCCGAUAUCAGAUUAGGUAGUUGGUGAGGUAAAGGCUCACCAAGCCGACGAUCUGUAGCUGGUCUGAGAGGACGACCAGCCACACUGGGACUGAGACACGGCCCAGACUCCUACGGGAGGCAGCAGUGGGGAAUUUUGGACAAUGGGCGCAAGCCUGAUCCAGCAAUGCCGCGUGCAGGAUGAAGGCCUUCGGUUGUAAACUGCUUUGUACGGUAACGAAACGGUAGAGC
rnacentral:rRNA from 1 species